GGGGACGUAGCUCAGUUGGUAGAGCACCGCUUUUGCAAGGCGGGGGUCGCCGGUUCGAGUCCGGUCGUCUCCA
rnacentral:tRNA from 1 species